CUGGGAGGACCAUCUCCUAAGGCUAAAUACUCUCUAGUGACCGAUAGUGAACCAGUACCGUGAGGGAAAGGUGAAAAGCACCCCGGAAGGGGAGUGAAAUAGAACCUGAAACCGUGUGCUUACAAGUAGUCAGAGCCCGUUAAUGGGUGAUGGCGUGCCUUUUGUAGAAUGAACCGGCGAGUUACGAUUUGAUGCAAGGUUAAGCAGUAAAUGUGGAGCCGUAGCGAAAGCGAGUCUGAAUAGGGCGUUUAGUAUUUGGUCGUAGACCCGAAACCAGGUGAUCUACCCUUGGUCAGGUUGAAGUUCAGGUAACACUGAAUGGAGGACCGAACCGACUUACGUUGAAAAGUGAGCGGAUGAACUGAGGGUAGCGGAGAAAUUCCAAUCGAACCUGGAGAUAGCUGGUUCUCUCCGAAAUAGCUUUAGGGCUAGCCUCAAGUGAUGAUUAUUGGAGGUAGAGCACUGUUUGGACGAGGGGCCCCUCUCGGGUUACCGAAUUCAGACAAACUCCGAAUGCCAAUUAAUUUAACUUGGGAGUCAGAACAUGGGUGAUAAGGUCCGUGUUCGAAAGGGAAACAGCCCAGACCACCAGCUAAGGUCCCAAAAUAUAUGUUAAGUGGAAAAGGAUGUGGCGUUGCCCAGACAACUAGGAUGUUGGCUUAGAAGCAGCCAUCAUUUAAAGAGUGCGUAAUAGCUCACUAGUCGAGUGACACUGCGCCGAAAAUGUACCGGGGCUAAACAUAUUACCGAAGCUGUGGAUUGUCCUUUGGACAAUGGUAGGAGAGCGUUCUAAGGGCGUUGAAGCAUGAUCGUAAGGACAUGUGGAGCGCUUAGAAGUGAGAAUGCCGGUGUGAGUAGCGAAAGACGGGUGAGAAUCCCGUCCACCGAUUGACUAAGGUUUCCAGAGGAAGGCUCGUCCGCUCUGGGUUAGUCGGGUCCUAAGCUGAGGCCGACAGGCGUAGGCGAUGGAUAACAGGUUGAUAUUCCUGUACCACCUAUAAUCGUUUUAAUCGAUGGGGGGACGCAGUAGGAUAGGCGAAGCGUGCGAUUGGAUUGCACGUCUAAGCAGUAAGGCUGAGUAUUAGGCAAAUCCGGUACUCGUUAAGGCUGA
rnacentral:rRNA from 1 species